AAAACUUUGCAAUGCGAGAAAUCGUGACAAGGGAACUCCGAGUGCCCGUAAAUUCGGGCUGUCCAUCUGUGUAAAAAACAGGUGAAGAAAGGGCCGGGCAAGACCGGUGCCAGCCGCCGCGGUAAUACCGGCGGCUCGAGUGGUGGCCACUAUUACUGGGCUUAAAGCGUCCGUAGCUGGUCUGUUAAGUCUCUGGGGAAAUCUUCCGGCUUAACCGGAAGGCGUCCCAGGGAUACUGGCAGACUAGGGACCGGGAGAGGUGAGAGGUACUCCAGGGGUAGGAGUGAAAUCCUGUAAUCCUUGGGGGACCACCUGUGGCGAAGGCGUCUCACCAGAACGGCUCCGACAGUGAGGGACGAAAGCUGGGGGAGCAAACCGGAUUAGA
rnacentral:rRNA from 1 species